GUAGAAUAGAUACAAAUCUGAAUUUUAAGUUUCAACCCUUUCUUCUGUUACUGUGCUUAGAGACUCAAAAUCCCUUUCUUCUUCAUCUUCUUCUUCUUCAUCUUCUUCUUCUUCUCAAAGGCAAUCUCAUUCUCAUUGCUUCUAUCUGUAGCAAAGACCUUCAAUGCCACACUUUUCAACGCUCCCAAUUUUCAAAUCCAUUUUCUAGGUACUGUAUUGUCUCAAUUUCCUCAUUCUUCUCAAUUCAUCCUCCAUUCUGCAUAAUCAUUCCCUUUUGAAGACAUCCCAACUUCGUGAUGAUAUCUUUCUGAGCUUAAUCUAGCUGUAUCAGAUCUUGGGUUUCUCGUUAAACUUCGAGUGAAUCUUGAACUCCAAUGAAAUAAUCUUUGUUUUUUAGUUUUUUCAUUCAUAAGCCCGCCCCCAAAAUGGAGAUUUCGACUGGAGGUUGUUCUCCCAGAAUCAGGUCUGAUUACCCCAGGAAGGAGGGAUCCGAGGGAACCCCUGUUAAGCAGUUUGAACUCUCUGGUCGUGAUCGCAAUUAUGAAAUGCAAUCAAUGAAUGCUUUGGAUAUUCUCAGAGAAACUGUUAGGAUUCUUAGGUUCGAUUCAUGGGGUUUCAUUGCAAUCGCUGUUAUGCUUAUUUGUCCUGUUUCUGCUGUGCUUUUGUCUAAUGUGAUAGUGGAUGUGUCUAUUGUGAAGAAUCUAUCUAUUAGGCUUAUGUUGGUUGCCCAAGCUAGUGGUCUUCCUCUGAGACCAAUUAUCAAACAGUCCUGUCAGCGAUUUGCAGAGACCGUGGUUUCUUCAGCCGUGUGCUUUCCUUUGUAUGCUACAUUGUUGUUAUUGUCCAAAGCUGGUGUUGUCUAUACCGUAGAUUGUACUUAUUGCAGAAAGAGGUUUGAUGCUUCCAAGUUUUGUGUGAUUGUUUCUAAGAUUUGGAGGAAGAUCCUCUUCACAUAUCUGUGGGGCUGUGCGCUUGUGGUUGGUUGCAUCACCUUGUUCUGUGUUUUCCUUGUUGCGUUCUGCAGUGCAUUAGCUGUUCUUGGGUUUUCCCCUGAUAUUGUUGUGUACUGUGCAAUGCUGGUUGGGUUGGUUUUCUCUGUCGUCUUUGCCAAUGCCAUAAUCAUCUGUAACAUUUCGAUAGUGAUCUCUGUGUUGGAGGAUGUUUCGGGAGCGCAGGCAAUGCUGCGGUCUAGUAUUUUGAUCAAGGGUCAGACACAGGUUGGUCUACUGAUAUUUCUUGGAUCGACUAUAGGGAUGGCCUUUGUGGAGGGCUUGUUUGAGCACAGAGUAAAGACAUUGAGCUAUGGUGAUGGAUCUUCAAGGGUGUGGGAAGGGCCACUCUUGGUGGUGAUGUAUUCAUUUGUAGUGCUUAUAGAUUCCAUGAUGAGUGCAGUUUUCUAUUUCAGUUGCAGAUCAUCUAGCCUGGAGGUCUCAGAUAGCGAAGGCAACUCAAUUUUAGAAACUAUGACCAUUUCUGCUGAAUCAAUGGGAAUUCAAUGACAUUGUCAGCAUGGUAUUGAUUGUGCCAAUUGAAUGAAUAAGAUGAAGAGGGAAGCUGUAAGAGUUUGUUCCCUGAAAACUGGGUUGCUAUUGAGGAACCUUGCAAGUUGCAACAUUUCAUCCUUUGAGCAUUAGAUAGGAAAGCUACGUAGAGGGGUCUUUCAAGGUUAAGGAAUCCCACAAACCUCACCGAGAGGUCUUAGGUUGGUAUUUUCUGAUCCGCCUGUUAAGGGAGAGUACUUGCCGUGAGGUUUGAAAGUUUGUUCCCAGUUAAAUGGUCUUGAUGCUUUUUUUUUCAGUUUUUAUUACAUUGUUAAAAUUUAUACAUAUAAAGAAUAAGUUUAUCUAUUGAUAUUCAGUAUGCUCCGAGUGGAUUCUUGAAAAAAGUAUCCAGAGCUCGUUUGUACCAAAAAAUCUCUCAUGUCUAGAUCACGAAGGAAUUCACCUUCUGAUUUUACCAUGCAAUGAAUGAUCUUUCUGUGUGCCUAACUGCUUGUUCCUUCAAGCUCUAUGUAGGAGAAUAUUUGUUAAACUUGUCAAAAUUUUGUUGUUCCACACGUUGACCGAACGAGGUUAUAAAAUAUAAGUGUAGUAUGGUGAUCUGCUCCUUCAAUUUGCAACGAAGUUGAGCAUGGCCAUUCUACUUCCAUGAGUGCACCAACCUUCCCUUUUCUACACAAUGGAUCCACUACUAGAAGUACCUUACUAGAGAGCAAAAAAUACUACGGUUGAGGCUUAUUUCAUAUGGCAAGCAGGGUA